rnacentral:rRNA from 1 species
UGGGCGUAAAGGGUGCGUAGGUGGUCUUUCAAGUCGGUGGUUAAAGGCUACGGCUCAACCGUAUUAAGCCGCCGAAACUGGAAGACUUGAGUGCAGGAGAGGAAAGUGGAAUUCUCAGUGUAGCGGUGAAAUGCGUAGAUNUUGAGAAGAACACCAGUAGCGAAGGCGGCUUUCUGGACUGUAACUGACACUGAGGCACGAAAGCGUGGGUAGCAAACAGGAUUAGAUACCCUGGUAGUCCACGCCGUAAACGAUGAGUAUUAGGUGUCGGGGGUUACCCCCCUCGGUGCCGCAGUUAACGCAUUAAAUACUCCGCCUGGGGAGUACGCACGCAAGUGUGAAACUCAAAGGAAUUGACGGGGACCCGCACAAGUAGCGGAGCAUGUGGUUUAAUUCGAAGCAACGCGAAGAACCUUACCUAAGCUUGACAUCUCUCAGAUCGGUAGUUAAUCCUACCUUCCCUUCGGGGCUGAGAUGACAGGUGGUGCAUGGUUGUCGUCAGCUCGUGUCGUGAGAUGUUGGGUUAAGUCCCGCAACGAGCGCAACCCUUGUCUUUAGUUGCCAGCAUUAAGUUGGGCACUCUAGAGAGACUGCCAGGGAUAACCUGGAGGAAGGUGGGGAUGACGUCAAAUCAUCAUGCCCCUUAUGCUUAGGGCUACACACGUGCUACAAUGGGUGGUACAGAGGGUUGCCAAGCCGCAAGGUGGAGCUAAUCCCUUAAAGCCAUUCUCAGUUCGGAUUGUAGGCUGAAACUCGCCUACAUGAAGCUGGAGUUACUAGUAAUCGCA